UAAUAGUAUACAUUACAUUAUCAUUCUACAUAGCAAGAAACUUGGUCAACAUAAGGGUUAACAAAGAUCAGUUGGGUCAAAGAUGACAUUUGAACCAAACCUCCCUUAAUCAGAUAUUUGAGCUUAGAAAUUAAGUAGAAAAACGUUGCUUUUCAUUCAUUUUUGUUUUCAGCAAGGCCUAAAUUCUUAAUAAUAAUAAUUAAUUAAUAAUAUAAUGAAAUGAAAUCGAAGGCUAAAACCUUAAAAAAAAAAAUCCACGUGUCAACAUCUUGAAGAUGGUGGUGGGACAACUUGAUCUUCCCCUAGACGUAUGGUCAAAGCAACAUUUUUAAUUUUCCUUGAAGGUAUGUACUUUACCAUAUACUAUUAUUAUUCUUCUUAGUAAGAGUAACAUAAUUAGAUUAGCUCAUGAAGAUUCAAGAUGCCGGUAACCGAAUUUUUUUCAAAAAUUCAAGAUUUUAUUAAUAAAUUACACAAUUAUCGUUGUUAAUAACAAAUUAUACAAUAUGAUUUUGAUUAUCAAAUUAUCAAAAUACAUAUAAUGACAAUGAGUGCCACGUAUUCACAAGCAAAAUCUUGUCUCUGUCUCACGGUAGAUGCAAAGCCUACGUCCCCUUUUCAAAUCUUUUCCAUAUUCCACAAUUGUUGUUGGGUCUUCUAAAUUAAUGUUUGGUAAAAUUAAUAACUCUAACAGCAACCCCACUUCCUUCUUUCCUCCACCUUCCCUACCUCCCUACAAUCUCGUCCCCGGUCUCGUGGAUCUGCGGAAUAUCUAGUGUUUCUCUCCAUCAAGGCUGAAUAAAACAAUAUGCUGCCAAGUGUCCUUGAUGAUCGUCUAAUGCGAGUUUGUCUGUCACCUAAAAUCUUUUAUGUAUUUAAUUCAUUAUUAAUUGAAUUCGGUCUACUAAUAAUUUUUGUUUUAGUCUCUUUUGUACUAAUUCUUUUUCGUUGAUAUAGGGAAUUAAAUUUUUUUUUUAUAUAUAUGUGAAGUUUUCCUAUCUCAAUAAUUAAUGUUAUACUUUGAUUUUUCUCUAAAUUAGAAAAAAUCUAUACCCGCCAUGUAUAUGGAAGAAAGAAAGAGGAUACUAGAUUUACAAAUUUCUUUAAUUUUUUCAUGAUAACAGUUUUUUCUUAGAAAAUUUUCAUUAAAAAAUUAAGACUUGAAUGAAAUUUUUUUAUGUAAAAUUUAUGAAGUUUUUAAAUUAAAAACAAUCAAAUGAAAACAAUAAUAAAAAUUUUAAAUCGAUAGAUUGAAAAUAUUAAAAAAAUGUUAGAAAAAUAUUGAAAUUU
rnacentral:lncRNA from 1 species